rnacentral:rRNA from 1 species
UACGGAGGAUGCGAGCGUUAUCCGGAUUUAUUGGGUUUAAAGGGUGCGUAGGCGGACUGUCAAGUCAGCGGUAAAAUACGGGGGCUCAACCUCCGCCCGCCGUUGAAACUGACGGUCUUGAGUGGGCGAGAAGUAUGCGGAAUGCGUGGUGUAGCGGUGAAAUGCAUAGAUAUCACGCAGAACUCCGAUUGCGAAGGCAGCAUACCGGCGCCCAACUGACGCUGAAGCACGAAAGCGUGGGUAUCGAACAG